rnacentral:lncRNA from 1 species
GGCAGCAGUACCUGCAGUUCUAGACCUGUGGCUGACACAAGGGUUAGGCUGUAAGGCCGUCUUACUCCUGGUCUUUCAUCUCUUGCCAACAUACUUCGUAGACACUGCGAUCUACUCGGAUAUAUCAGGAGGAGGCCACCCCUACCUGACUGGCUUAGCAGUGGCUGGUGGAGCCUACUACCUGGGCCUGGAAGGAGCCAUCAUUGGGCCAAUUCUUCUCUGCAUACUUGUCGUAGCUUCCAAUAUCUACAGUGCCAUGCUAGUGAGCCCUACGAAUUCAAUGCCCACACCAAGUCAGACCCCGUGGCCUGCUCAGACUCAGAGGACUUUCCGUGACAUCUCUGAAGAUCUGAAAUCUUCAGUAGAUUGACAUGGCCUCACUGCAAUGACUUCUCUGGGGAGUUUCACCUUGAGAGUGAGUCCUCUGAGCUUUGGCCUCUGUUCUGUCAGCUGUGCCUGGCAGGCAGGGGUACCCACAAAAGAAGCAGAAGCCUCCCAGCCUUACAUGCAGAACACCAAGUGAGAAAGAACUUGCUCUAGGCUGCUUCACAUUUUAAAACACAGCUUGAGAGUUGAGACCUGUGUCUGCUCAUAGCUCAUGCUAAGUUGGCUUGAAAAGUUGCAGUUCAUGCACUGGUACCAAGGCUUGAAAUUGCCCUCUUUGGUUAUCUGCUGCAGUGUUUAUUUAUAAGUUAUUUUAAGGAUUCUGAAUUACCUGCUAUUAAACAUGUAUUCAGUGU